AUAUACAUCUACUCUAUACCCACAAAAUUUUUUUAAAAAACAGAUCAGCAUGGCCCCUGAACAAGGAUGACAGGCAAAUUCAUGAAGUGUUUCAUAUUUUU
ensembl:snRNA U6 U6 spliceosomal RNA